ACAUGCAAGUCGAACGGUAACAGGUCUUCGGACGCUGACGAGUGGCGAACGGGUGAGUAAUACAUCGGAACGUGCCCAGUCGUGGGGGAUAACUACUCGAAAGAGUAGCUAAUACCGCAUACGAUCUGAGGAUGAAAGCGGGGGACCUUCGGGCCUCGCGCGAUUGGAGCGGCCGAUGGCAGAUUAGGUAGUUGGUGGGAUAAAAGCUUACCAAGCCGACGAUCUGUAGCUGGUCUGAGAGGACGACCAGCCACACUGGGACUGAGACACGGCCCAGACUCCUACGGGAGGCAGCAGUGGGGAAUUUUGGACAAUGGGCGAAAGCCUGAUCCAGCAAUGCCGCGUGCAGGAUGAAGGCUUCGGGUUGUAAACUGCUUUUGUACGGAACGAAAAAGCUUCUCCUAAUACGAGAGGCCCAUGACGGUACCGUAAGAAUAAGCACCGGCUAACUACGUGCCAGCAGCCGCGGUAAUACGUAGGGUGCGAGCGUUAAUCGGAAUUACUGGGCGUAAAGCGUGCGCAGGCGGUUAUGUAAGACAGAUGUGAAAUCCCCGGGCUCAACCUGGGAACUGCAUUUGUGACUGCAUGGCUAGAGUACGGUAGAGGGGGAUGGAAUUCCGCGUGUAGCAGUGAAAUGCGUAGAUAUGCGGAGGAACACCGAUGGCGAAGGCAAUCCCCUGGACCUGUACUG
rnacentral:rRNA from 1 species